CGGUUACAUCGGUGACAGGUGGUGCAUGGUUGUCGUCAGCUCGUGUCGUGAGAUGUUGGUUAAGUCCCGCAACGAGCGCAACCCCUAUUGUUAGUUGCCAUCAUUCAGUUGGGCACUCUAGCGAGACUGCCGGUAAUAAACCGGAGGAAGGUGGGGAUGACGUCAAAUCAUCAUGCCCCUUAUGACCUGGGCUACACACGUGCUACAAUGGUUGGUACAACGAGUUGCGAGUCGGUGACGGCGAGCUAAUCUCUUAAAGCCAAUCUCAGUUCGGAUUGUAGGCUGCAACUCGUCUACAUGAAGUCGGAAUCGCUAGUAAUCGCGGAUCAGCACGCCGCGGUGAAUACGUUCCCGGGCCUU
rnacentral:rRNA from 1 species